rnacentral:rRNA from 1 species
UACGAAGGGGGCUAGCGUUGCUCGGAAUCACUGGGCGUAAAGGGCGCGUAGGCGGCCAUUCAAGUCAGAGGUGAAAGCCCAAGGCUCAACCUUGGAAUUGCCUUUGAUACUGUUUGGCUUGAGACCGGAAGAGGUAAGUGGAACUGCGAGUGUAGAGGUGAAAUUCGUAGAUAUUCGCAAGAACACCAGUGGCGAAGGCGGCUUACUGGUCCGGUUCUGACGCUGAGGCGCGAAAGCGUGGGGAGCAAACAGGAUUAGAUACCCUUGUAGU